UAGUCUAUUGCUGAAGUAUUUUUAAAAUGUUUAAGUCAAUCGGGAAAGUAAUUGUGUGUGAUGUGCGAAAACAUCUUGGUAAACUUUCCUUCUUGGUAACAAUCUUAGUGGAAAUUUCCUAAUUGCUCUUUGCUUUUAGAGAUUUUUUUUUUUUUUACUUUUAAACCAUUUAGUAAUCUAAUUUGUGAAACCAACAUAAUUUUUUUGUCAGCAAAUCAUUCCAGUGUGUUUAAACUGUUUAUGUGGAAAGUUUAUGUGGAAAACAAUCACGUUGAGUUAGAAAACAUGGUAAACAAUUUUCAUAUUGGUCUUGCAAUUUUCUUUUCAUGCUGCAGAGUUAAUUGUUGUAGUUUCAUCAUUUUAACUUUGGACGUCUGUAUUUUAACGUUCGCGUUUGGAUUUUUUACGUUCUUAUUUUCUUAGAGGAACAAUACCACUGGAAUGAUUUGCCAACAAGUCAACAACCAUAUUUCAGUUUCACUUAUAGAUUUUGAUAUUUUUAUUUAUAUUCAUAUCACAUUUUAAAUUUAUAGAUAGUUCAUUUUUUUCCAACUUUAAUAAUGAUUAAACUUUAAUCUCUAAAUAAAAGCAAAGUGCACCUAGAAAAUUUUAUGACCAGGGGACCUGCCGCCACGCACCGGUACCUCUUGGUUAUUGUUGGUAAAAAAAACGAUCUCUCGCUUCAACUUGCGCCAUUAUGGAAUUAUAAGCCCUCAGGUGUGGGGGUAGAGAGAGGGAGAAAAAAUAACAAACAAGGCGCUAUAUAACACACACACACAUGCACGCACAAAGAGAAGGAAAUAAGACUUGUAUGUGUCUCUCUGCGAGCUUUUCUUUUCUCUCUUUUUAUUUUUCUAUUCGAUUGAUCGCUAACUGGCAACCGUACGCCUGAACGGAUCGAGUAGGAUGUCAAUUGAUUUGCCGCUCGCUCUCUCGUCGGCUAGACCUUUGGUUGAGUGCUCAAUCAACCAGCCAUCUCCUCUCCUCGCGACUCCCACCUUGCCUUUAUUCCCACCUCAUCGAAAAAAACGAAACUCGCUCCUUGUUUGUUGCGUCUAUACACACACAAACAUUUACCUAUAGUAUAGUAGCAGUAUAUACAUACGUGUCUGUAUAUAGGAGAUUUGCGUGACGAGGAAAAUGUCGACAAUUAUACGAUUGGGUAGCGAAGGCAAGUCUGGGAAAAACGAGCGGAUCGAAGAAACUUAUAUAUAGCCGAGGCACGACCCCGCAAUCUAAACAGGGUGGGGUGGAAAUAAGAGAGGGAGAGAGAGAAGAGGAGGAUAUAUAUAUAUACGCCACUAUAUAGCCUAUAUAGGAGCUAGAAGAGAAAUUGAGAAUAGAAAGUGAGGAAAAGGGCUGGGCUGUGUGUGCAAAGGCAAUAUAUAUAAAGCCCGGGAGUAAUAAGACGACAACCGGGUGGACAACAGCCGAUCGCCGUCGCCGAUCAAUGCGCUCUUUGACGUUUUUGCUGUACGUUUUUCUUCUUUUCUUUUUUAUUUUGUAGAGACGGGCCAAUCAAUCGUCUCUCUCUCUCUCUCUUUUCUUUUCACCCGCGUAAUUCCCCAUUCGUCGCCGUCGUAUUUCUUUCAACAGCGAUUUAACUAGUGUGUAUAUACCAUCCGCCAAUUCCGCCCCUUUCUUUGGGCUGCUGCUGGCCUUUUUUUUUUCUCUCGGCAAAAGCGCUGAUGGACUCCUUCCACUUUCCCUGGGCCAACUGUGAUGCAUCAAUCAACUAAGAGGUCGGAAUAUCCGAAAGAGCUGCGCAUCUCCACGCAUGUGGUGUAGUGUGUGCGGGGGGUAGCCCCUUUUUUGCUCCGCCGGAUGGGAUGGAAAGACUUGUCAAUUCCCUCUCUGCGAGCUGUGUGUGUGUGUGUGCAAGCUUGUGUAUAUUAUAUUGCUGCGUGGAUGUAAAUGUAUGCUCAGUGUUUAUUUUGUGUUCGGUAGCUACACAUUUCGCAGAAGAACGACACAACUCGUCGGAUGACUCGACGCGAUCCGAACAAUAAUGGAUGAGUAUAAGACGGUGAAUAAUGAAUGAGUCAGAUUACACUCGACAACCCCAGCCAGCGUAGAGAGAGAGGGGAGAGAGAAGGGGGGACCCAAAAAGGAAGAGAUGGAGGAAGCGACUGGAAACGUUUUGAGCCUUAAUUGACUGAUCAAAUAUUCAGGACGGAGGACGCUGAGCGCUGCUGCUGUGGCUGAGGCUCCCGUCCAGGAGAAAGGGGGGAGAAAGAGAGAAGAGAAGAGCAACGUGACUGUUUGAUUUCAGCGCAAACCGUCGAGCAGCAGCAGCAGCAUUAAACAUUCCCUCUCCAUAUUUGAUGAAUCCGACCUUAGAUAUAGGCUAGCAGCUAGCAGCUCUCAGAUGAGGAAAUGACGGUCCGCUGCCAAGUGGCGGCCAUGUGUCUCGAUCUAUUACAUAUCAGAUAUAGACGCAAUUAAGAUCUCCGCACAAUCCAAGUUGAUGCCCUUGUGCGUAGGUGAGCGCGCUAUACUCGCCUAGAUUUGAUUUCACGUCAUUUCUUUUAUUUUUCGUGAGUUACGAAUUUGACGUAAUUAUAAUCCCAUCCUUCUUCUUUUUUGGGUGGGUGUAGGAGGCGGGGUGGCGUGGGUGUGUGACCCGCGGGUGCACGACCUCGCUCACGUUCGGUUGCUGGGCCCCCCCUCCCUGGCAGCUGUAACAAUUCACUCGUCAGCCUUUGCUUUAGCGUCAGCAAGAUGCCGAAUCGUUCAAUAAGGCACUCACAGUCGGUAAUCGGCCGAUUCGAAUCGCGCUGAUCAGCCGAUCUUCGGCUCCGAUGGUGGCAUCCGUCCGUCCAAUCAUGGCCGUUUCACGCGACGCGAGACUCGGCCCAUUGUACACUGGCCAGAAUACAUUGAGCACAACCGGCAGACUACGGAUGGAUGGGGGGGGGGGGGAGAGCAGAUCGAAUGAAAGAAACAAAAUGGCACACACGAACAACACAUACACACACAAAAAAAAGAGACAGCUCAGGCUUGUGUAUACACAGACACAAAAGACGGCGACGAUUUCCACUAGACGUCCACAAAAUGGAUGCAGACAAUGUUUUUACACUGGGACGGAGAGAGAAUAUCUGGAAAUGUUUAGAAUGAUAGUCGACGUAUAGAUGUAGUCUGUACAUGCUGUCGUCAUUGAUGAUUUCGUGGGUGUGUGUGUUAUUCCGUCGUCGUAUUUCAUCCUUUAGUUCUCCGAAAGUGCGCGCUUUAAGGCGGAAUACCAGGCCGCUAUACUCGGGAAAACUACAGGGCCGUGUUUUUUUUUGUCCCGACGAUGGGUUCAAUUCACGUAAAAAGUUUUUCAGACGAAUGAGAAGAGCACAGCAACCGUGCAUUUCAGAUAUAUAGAUUCAAGUCAUUCAACCCCCCCAAUUAUGUAAAUGUAUAGACGUCUCUGUACGGCUCCGCUCUCUCUGUUUCAAGUCUAGAGAUGUAGUCUAUCUACUCCAGCACCCUGGAGAUUCCGUUAGCGAGGCGAAACUUUGGAAUUCAACUCGACUUUUUGGCGGAGGAGGGACAAGAACGCGGCUGCUGACUUGCUCACUUUCUAAACAUUUCUUAGGAAAUAUGUCGAUCGAAAUUAGCCAUCGAGUUUUCCAACUUUAGUCCUUGUUUAGUUUACACAGAUAUUGCAGCUUGGAUUCUAAUAUAGCUGUAUUUUUUUUGUACAUCACUCACAAUUUAGAAAUUUAAAAAAUUAUGAUUCUCCAAUCAUACGUUGGCAGCUCUAGGAAUAAAUUUGACACACGUCUACCCAAGGGCCAAUGCUGAUCAAGGAAUAAAAACAUAGUUAAAAGAAUUGCAAUAUUUUUACGUCAUCGUACACUGAUCACCAGUGUACUUACUAUUCAUGAUUUAACCUUACUAUCCAUGAUACUUGCACAUCUCCCUUUUAUUUCUUGUACAGUGCCACCUAGUGAUAACAAACUAAAUUACUUAUGCGCCGGGGGCUGUUUUUGUUGUUUUGCAUAAAUAGGCAACGCCGCUUCUUAGUUACGUCUGCUUGCUGCCCAAAAGGCCAAAACGUCAAUAGGCCUACGUCAUUAGUCAUUAUUUACGUCAAAAUUAAAUUCUCGUUGAUCUUGUUCUUGUUGUGGCGUCACUCGUCAGUGUCCCUUGUUAUUUGGUCCAGUUUCUUUGUUUUUACCGGUUAUUACAGGCCAAAUGCUAUUUUAAUUUGAAAUGCAAGCAAAUCUGGGAUCUGGACUAAUGUCUUCACAGCCUACACACAUCUCUCUACAUAUUACUAUUCCUAUAUGCGAGAUUAUGUGUCUGUUCUGUUCUCCGAUCAGGUUAUUAUUAUGGAUUAUGGAAAUUACCAGUUUUCACAUUAGUUCCUGAAUAUUUUACAUAAACCCCUGUUUCAGCUACCAAACAUCAGCUCUAUGGCCCAAAAUUGUGAAUGAAUGCAAGCACGUGAAGCAGGUUCUCUCUUGACUUGAGUAAUUGAUACUUCUGAGUUCCGAAGCAGUUGAUUAAUCAAGUAGUGAUAUACUAUUGUUUCAAUUCCUAACAAACACUAUGCGGCAAACUUCCAAAAGCAAACAGAGACUUUAUGAAAAGUAAUGUUCUUUCAAGAAAGUCAACAAGGUUCCUUGUUUGCUAACUCAAUGGCUGCUACCCUUGAAUCUCCCUUUUUACUUCCUUAAACGGGCCCUCUUGAUUUCAGGGUAAUCCUUCGCUACUGAUCAUGGACUCCAUUGGUGAAACUGAAAACCGACG
rnacentral:lncRNA from 1 species